UAUAAGCCAUCUUAUAGCAUAUCUUAUAGCUAGCUUAUACAAUAAUUAGCUAUAAAAAAACGCACGUUUGUGCUUUAGAAAAAACAAACAGGAAGUACGGUGCGAGCAGUACGUAUCUGUUUGGUUAAAGGGAAACGUUCAUACACGGCGCGCCGGUCGAACCGUUUCGGCCGGACACACCGCGUUUGUUUGAUCUGUGCGGAUCGCGCGUUUCCCUUUGCGCAUGUGACACCCUGAAUUUGGUGCUACGGUAAUCUAAGGAUUAAACUAAUCCAAUUAUGAUCACUGUUGGAAUCGACCCUGAUUCAAAUUCCUUGCAAUUCAAAAUUAUUUGAAAAGUGAAAUUAAAAGUUUUGCAAACCAGUAAAUAAAAAUCAUGCAUAGGUUUCAAA
rnacentral:lncRNA from 1 species